CGCCCCGCCGGGUACAGCUUUGGGCGCCCGUACGUGCAGGCCUUUGCCCCGCUAGGGAGAGGCGCUGGGCUGCCUCGCUGAGCCCUGUGCAUCCCCCUCCCCACGCCCGCCACGUCCCCAGGACCACGUGGAGAGAAGGACACUCUCCCAGCGCAGCAUCCCGCAUGUACCAUCCCCUGUGGGAGCCUGCGAGGGGGUUGGGGAGAGAACAAUGGAGCAACCCCUGAUAAGGGGGGUCUGGGCCCCAAAGCAGGGAGCUGGGGCUCCCUCUGUUGGGUGCUCUUGUGUCUUGUUUCCCCGGCUCCCGUGUCCUCUUUGCUCCGGCACCUUGUGUCAGGCCGGAGGGGCCAAGGGCAGCCCGAAAUUCCUGUGCUGAAAUUAGGGCAGUGCCUGCAGCUAGUCUGAACAGGCUUCCUUCUGAAAAAGUACUGACUUUUUUUUUUGACAGACCACCGAGAGGGCUUGGGGGAGGCACAUGCCUUCUGUGAGGGAUGCUGCUGGAAGAACUAGGACAAGCUGGCAGCAUGGCAUUAGACCUGGGUCUGCUUAAACGCCCCUGGCUCAUCCGUCUUUUUCUCAGGCUUUCCCUUGCCAAGAAGAUGGCAUUAGGGCACAGCAGCUGAUCCCUGUGUUUUGGUGUUCCAGUGCCUGCUGUCAAACUUGCUGCCUAGUGGGCUUAGGGUGGUUAUAGCCAUCCUCUGGAGACAAGAGAGGAUAGUAGAAUCAUUUAGGUGGGAAAAGACCUCCAGGAUCAUCAGGGUGGAAGGUUUUGUUUGAUGGGAGCGUCCUUCUCUUGGUGGGCUCCCAAGCCCCAGCAGCCCACUCCACCAACCAUGCAACAGGAUAGGGGACACCCAGGAAAAGGGGCACUGGGGAGGCUGAGGAUGCUUCUAGUCCUGUCACAUUAACCAGAUGGAGCCAACAACCCACCUCUGCCACUGCCAGACAGUUCAAGGACUGAUAAAUAUGAAUAAAUGGUGAUCCUCAAAAGUAUGGUGCAAGCAUUAAAAAAGACCAUUUCAGAGCAACCUCAGAGGAGUUGUCAAUUCAGCAGCAUCACAGGCUGGGCUCCACUGCCAAGCAGAAGUCAGGUUUUGGAGAGGAUCUUACCUCUGUUCUUUGUGCUGUCAGGAUGAAUUACCUGCAGACUGCCUGUGUGGGGUGACAUGUAACCUCGUUCUAAGCUGCAAGCGAAGGGGAUUUCACAGCCUCCCUGAGCUCCUAGAAAACUCUGUCUGUUUUGGUUUGGGGCACAUAUGUAGGCAUGCCUCUGGGUCCAGAGGAAAGGGAGUUCUCACCUCUCCAGGGACUUAAUUGGCCUCCAGGGCUGGAAGCAAAUGCAGGGUGCCAUCAGAAAGAUGGGACUCGUCUUUUCCACUGGCAUGUCAUGAGAGCUCUGACUUUCUAGAUGCUUAUCUUUCCUAAGCAUAACAGCUGAUCCUGCUUUCCCCAGUGCAAGAAGUGCAUCUUGGCUUGGGCAACAUUGGUUGACCCCUGUCCUUGUUCUAGCAGUCUUUUAAUCUACUUGCAGACUAUUUUUCAUGGGCCUGGUCUUUCUUUAUUUUCCCCUAAAAAAUUAGACAUGCUUCUUUCUCAUCAUGUCUUCUAAAUCUUUUCUUAUUGCUCUCUCCUCAAGCCUCUCCUUCCCCUAGCUCUUCCCCGCUGUCUCCUGCUUACAGCCCGCCACAAAUUUGCUCGUCUUUCUUUGUGUUACUCUCCAUUCCAGCCACAUUUGUCAUUGUCAGGUCGUUCCUCACCACAGACUUCAUAGUGCAAGGAACUUUCCUUCCCCUUUGAAGGCAAGUGCAUUGUUUGUCUUUCUUUCAUCACCUGGUGCCACUCUUCUUGCCUGGAUUUUGGAAGGCACUUGUUAGGUGUUCAGAGAUAACGUGGGAGAAUAUCUAGAGUCUUCUGGGUUGAUGAAGGUACCAGUUAGCUUUUCUUUCUGCCUCUCUUCUACUUACUUUGCGUCCUUGCUGACUUUUCUGUCUCAUUUCUAGAGUUGAGUUUGAUCCCUUGUACCAUUCUGAUGCUUUGGACCCUCUUGGCUCUGACUGAUUUCAUCCCAGUUUCAUCCCUGGAGGCUUGUGCUAAUUCUGUUAUUCUCAUCUGUAAUUUUACCUAUGUGUCUUUGUUCCUCAUUUCCUUUUUGAUUAUCAAGGCAUAGAUGGUGGUAGUCUCACAAGCCCUCUCCUGAUGGUGUUUUUCUCUCAAUGCUGUUUUUCUCUUCAAAAAGACAUGUAUAGAGCAGCUGCAAUUUCAAAGCCUUGGAAAAUAUUUCCCUGGCCUGAAUGGUAUAACAUUCCUAUUCUCACACUUUCAAAGAAAAGCCAAACUGUGGCCAGGCUGAAACAUUGUUAUGGCUGAAGCCCACUCUCUUACAACCCUAUAAAUAUCAGUCCAAGAUGGGGCCCCUUGAGCUCUCCUGGGACCGCAGCAGGCCUGUGACCAGCCAUCUCCCUCUGAGGGGGACACCUCUCAGAGCCAGCAAACCCUCAGGUUGGCUGUACCUGGAGGAUCACCGAACAAUGAUGCAUCCUGGGCCAACACCCUCACUCCUCAAGGCCUGAUCCUUCGCCCGUCAGGAGAUGCAAAAGCAUGCAAAGACACUUGUUCAGGACAGAGGGAAAAGGCUGGAACCUGGAUUUCUCUGCUUUCAAGUACGUGGACUACUCCUUGAAGAUCUCUCAGCUCUGAUUCAUAUCCUUUCCACUUUAAAUACUCAUAGAAGGGACAGAGGCUUGACUGCCAUGCAAGACUGGGAGCCCUGGUUCCUUGCUGGGCUCUGCACCUGACUGGGCUUGUUUGCUCUAAAGUCUGGGCACCCUUAUCAGAAGAGCAAACUUGUGACUAAGAGUUUAUUUCUAUGCUUUUUGUGCAUGAACCUCUGUAACCAGCAUUUCCCCCCCUUUCCAGAAGACCAGAUAAUUCUGGAAGGAAAGAGUCAUUGGUGAUCCAAGGAAUUCAUGAACUGUCCCAAUGGCCCUGCCGUUUCUGGCGGGAUUUGGCAAAGAAAAUCCCUGACAGUAGUGGCCAAGGGGAUAGGUAGCCUGGGUUUUGCUGCUGACAGAUUAGACUUGGUGACAGGGGAGCUGCUGGCUUUGUGUCCUGAUCAGGAGAUGAGGCAGCUGGGCCCAUCUCUGAGCUCCAAGUCCUCAGCUCCUGUCAGGCAUUUGCUGGCAUUCAGGUGCAUCUUAUCCUGAUGGCUCUCUGUUCUGCCCUUGUGCUCCAUGGAAAAACCCUUGAGUUUUCCCCAGAGCUGGCGGCUCAUCUUCCUCACCUCAUCUUCCAGCAGAUUUCUUGGAGCUGCUCACCACCUAGCAAGCUCAGCAGUCCUUAAGUAACUAAUGAGUGGCAGUGCAAUAUGCUUGUUAUUCAUUUUAUUUCUCUGAUGACUCAAGUAGUUGGGUUUAGGCCAAACCACCUCUUCAUGUGAUCUCCAAGGAGGAAGGACAGAAGGUUUCCUGCUGUACUGUAUAUGCUUUUCUUUGCUCUUUUGAGUGUUGGCUUUCCUUAGCCAUGUGUGCCCAUGCUUUCAUGGCAAUAAAGAAGGCAUUUGUGAAAGAAAAAAAGUUGCUGAUGAUGCAUGAAACUGUUUUCCACGCAUACCACUCUGUUCCCAGGACUGGGAGGAGUGGUGAUUUAGCUCCACAAUGUGAAUCAGUGUUUGCUUGGCAUUCCUUGGGGUGGUUCAAAAGCCCUAUUAGCCUUCUGCAAAAUCCUUCUGAAAAUACACAAAAGAUAUUAUUAAUUUUAGGUACAUGUGACUUAAUGAAAAGAGAGAAGUUUCUUCAGGAAUUGAUCUCAGCUAUCCCAUGUGCAUCUGACUCAUGUUUCCACAAGCUGGGAACAGUGAGCAAAUGGAGAUAAGGGGUCCAGGUCAAAGGGUGCAUAGUCUGUGAGAAAUGCUUUUUUCUUAGUUUUGUGACCUGUUCUUACCCUGGAGAUGCUGAUGUUUCAAAUAUCCUGCCCAGACUAUUAAUCCUUUUCCAAUGCUGUGGAAAUCUCAGAACCAGCAGGCUGUUAUUACUUACUAAAAAGUAUGCUUUGACUUAAGUUUUUCCAGCAUCUAAUAAAAACAAUGAUGUCCUCAAACUCCGCUUCCUUGGGAUUAGAAUGAUCUGUGGAAAUGAUCCUUCCACCUCCACUUCCUCCCAACUGGUCAUCCCUGUGUCAGGAAAGCAUUUGUGCUGUGUUUGGUACUGCUGCGCUAACUGCCAACAUUUUCAGCUUGGAAAAGCAUGCUCUGAAAGGAAACUACCAUCUCUGGGGAGAUGGACAGCAAUCACUGUAGUGUCACAGUGCAUUAACAGGAGAAAGCCUGUGGCAGUUUGAUUCUGAGCAGCAUGGAUGGCUGUGAGCGUAGUGGUGAACUUCCUGGUGCACACAUAUCCCAACACCUGAUUUCUCCCGUGAGCAAUGCCAUCACCUGGAGUGCUGGAUGCUUUCCUGUGGGAUGCCUUGUGCCCCCCAGGAUGCCCUUUUCCCCUGUCAUGUCACCAGGAGCCCUUCACCUCCCCACCAUCAACCUGCUGUGGGGCUUCUUCCCUCCCUGGGCAGCAGUCUGGGAGUGCUUGCCUGCUCUCCCCUCCCUGCCUCACCUUGCUUUUGGAUACCUGGGAAGAAGCUGUGAGCCAGGACUAGUGGCAAAUAUGGGGAUCAUGUUUGAGGAGGCUGCCCUGAAACAGGUUCACCUGACAUGAAGCAGGGCAGAGAUUUAGGUGUUUAAAACAGGCAGCAUUACCACAGAUAGCUGAGAUAGCUUUCCAAAGCACUCAGCUCUCAUUUUUCAAGCAUUUCAGUCACUAAAGCAUUUCACAAAGUGGAGCUCUGCCACUUGAACCCAGUAUCUGUCUUGCGGAGAAAUUAGUAGCAGCAAGUCUGGGUAGCAGAUGGUAAAGUGUUCCAGGCAGUUAAGGAAGAGGGAACAAUAGUGACACUUAAUGACAUCUUGUUAAAAAAAACAUGCAUGUCACUUCAUCUCAGAUAUGAAUAUACACUAGAGUGGAGAUGAUUAAGUAGAGUACUUCAUAUUUAGAAAUAGGUGUCUGUUUGCCUUUGGAAUCAAAAUUUCCAAGACUUCUACGAGGCUGCCAGACUUUGUCUUGACUUGCUCAGUACCUCUCUGAAUCUACUUUCUGACACUUCGUAAUUUUUAGAAUACUUAUUUAUGCUCCAAGGACCUGUUAUAUGCCUUUUUUUGGGCAAAAUCAUUUUAUUUUCCUUCUAUGUGUGUUAGUGACUUUGAAGUGAGCUAGUGAAUAGCUCUCCUUGGAGCCACUGCAGCCACUUGUGCUGCAAUGCUCACCUGUAUCUGAACAAGGGGAGGAUCAUUCAUUUCCAUUUAGCACAUUUAGCAAACAUUUCCAUUCAGCCAUUAGUCUGCCUUUUGAGAGACAGAAAUGGACACAUUAUCCAUUUAGGAUGACAUUGUGACGUGGUUGUAGCUUUCGAACAGCUGUCAGAUGUUGACAUGAUUUUCAGAGGUCCUUAGAAAGGUCAGGCCUGGCAGGGCUACCAUUUCCUGACCUGCUGGAAAGACCUGGAACACUUACUGAUACAGGAGUGGUUCAUCUGCCUCUGCUUAGAGUCUGAGGCAAAUGGGACGCUGAUGGAGUGAGGACCAUUGAAAAGCCUGGGAUUUGUACAGCAUUUCUAGAGCCCAAAUCAGUGGAGGUGCUGCUCCUGGGGAGCUUCUGGUGGUGAUGCACUUCCUGGCACACAGGCAUGUAGAGGCAGCAGGAGUGGGUCUGGGGCUGCUCAGUAGCACCAUUCAUUGUCACUGGUCCUCCCUGGUGCCCAUUCAGACAUGGUCUGCAAGUGCUGCUCUCUGACACAUGCUCCAAGAAGCUGAAGAUCCAUCCUCCUUCCCAAUGACUGCUUUGGGAUAUCUUAAGCUAAGAUAAGGACAGUCUUCUUGACAUAAGCAUCAUUUUUCCUGCAUUGUUACUGUCUGGGCUCCUGUUGAAAUGCAAAGUGAUGGAGAACUGUGGUCUGACAUAGGGAUGCUGAGGACCCUUGGCUGGGCACUGCAAUCCUCAUGUAAAAUGAUGCUAAUUUUCAUCUUUGGAAAUAAAUGCAACUUCUAUUUUUCA